rnacentral:lncRNA from 1 species
GUCAUCGGCCGUGGGGAAUAUCCCCAACUCACCUGUCUGAUGCCUGAGGUAGUGACAACUAAACUGUCCCCAAGCAUUACAUCCUGCUAGUAGGAUUGCUACCCUUUCCACGUUAGGACGCAGACUAGAAACCUGGAGGUUUUCAAACAGAGGUGCAUAGGCGAUACAAGGUUUGAGAAGACCAGUUUCUCUGUCAUCCRCCUAYUUCUUCCAACAAGCCAGUCAGCUUGCAGCUAAGACCUCAUCUACCUAGUUCCUUGGCAGGCAUGUGUCCCUCUGUCUGAUGCCCUGGCCCUGCAUUUGCCUCUUGGCUCCCCAUCCUUAAGGAGCAGCUGGCCCUUCCCGAUCCCAGACGCACCCUAGGAUGCCAGUGGAGAAGUCUCUUGAUGAGACUUGGGAGGUGCCCUCACCAAGGGCCUUACUCAGAGCACGGCUGCUGUGACAGGUGUCUUGGAGUCACCUUGAACGACUGAGCGCACAGACCGCUCGUCCUCCUUUUGGGCUGUGAUGUUCUGCUGAGAYGCGGUAUUGGASCCUGGCAUGGAGGGGUUGUGUUCUUGUGCCUCGGGCCCUGUAUGCAGGGAGGGGGCCUUCUGUGAAGCCCCCACCUGGAGGGUCUCUCUCAGCAUGGUAAGCUGGUGCGUACACCAGUGAGAUACAGGAGCUGGCAGACUGGCUCUGCCACCACUCCUCCCAAAUAAUCCCCCUKCCCCUACUUCCUUUCUCCUCCUUGGUGCCAAUUCUCUUUCCUGCGCACCCAAAGCUGCUCUUCCCAACACUCCCACCUCGGCCUAAUUCUGGCCGCUUCAGUAGUUGCCCUAGGGAAGCUGAGUCUUCCYGCUGUGUACCUCCCUCUCUUCUUUUCUCCACCCCUGCCUUUCCGUAGGGGAUGAAGGCGGAAAAUGAGGAGCAGGGGCUGUUCCUAGGAGAGUUCAUGUACGUGGCUGCAGAACAUCCCUUCCAGACUUUCCAGCUGAAGAACGAGCGCUCUGACUCCAUAGAGUACUUGAAGCUGAAGGUGCUGACACUAGUGACUCGCGCCACAGAGCUGCAGCUCUGGUGAUUUGCUUACCAGACCUCAC